AGCAGCUUGCUGCUUCGCUGACGAGUGGCGGACGGGUGAGUAAUGUCUGGGAAACUGCCUGAUGGAGGGGGAUAACUACUGGAAACGGUGGCUAAUACCGCAUAACGUCGCAAGACCAAAGAGGGGGACCUUCGGGCCUCUUGCCAUCAGAUGUGCCCAGAUGGGAUUAGCUUGUUGGUGAGGUAACGGCUCACCAAGGCGACGAUCCCUAGCUGGUCUGAGAGGAUGACCAGCCACACUGGAACUGAGACACGGUCCAGACUCCUACGGGAGGCAGCAGUGGGGAAUAUUGCACAAUGGGCGCAAGCCUGAUGCAGCCAUGCCGCGUGUAUGAAGAAGGCCUUCGGGUUGUAAAGUACUUUCAGCGGGGAGGAAGGUGUUGUGGUUAAUAACCGCAGCAAUUGACGUUACCCGCAGAAGAAGCACCGGCUAACUCCGUGCCAGCAGCCGCGGUAAUACGGAGGGUGCAAGCGUUAAUCGGAAUUACUGGGCGUAAAGCGCACGCAGGCGGUCUGUCAAGUCGGAUGUGAAAUCCCCGGGCUCAACCUGGGAACUGCAUUCGAAACUGGCAGGCUUGAGUCUUGUAGAGGGGGGUAGAAUUCCAGGUGUAGCGGUGAAAUGCGU
rnacentral:rRNA from 1 species